CUGUGAGCUCGAUGAGUAGGGCGGGACACGUGGUAUCCUGUCUGAAUAUGGGGGGACCAUCCUCCAAGGCUAAAUACUCCUGACUGACCGAUAGUGAACCAGUACCGUGAGGGAAAGGCGAAAAGAACCCCGGCGAGGGGAGUGAAAAAGAACCUGAAACCGUGUACGUACAAGCAGUGGGAGCACAGAGCAAUCUGUGUGACUGCGUACCUUUUGUAUAAUGGGUCAGCGACUUAUAUUCUGUAGCAAGGUUAACCGAAUAGGGGAGCCGAAGGGAAACCGAGUCUUAAC
rnacentral:rRNA from 1 species